rnacentral:lncRNA from 1 species
GGAGACACACACAGCACAAGCAGCCAGAAGUCUCUGCUUUUAACUAAAUCUCCAGGUUUUUGCCUGGACUCGCACUUUGUCAUGGCAUUGGCACCACAAUUGGAGGUGCAACUGAGUUUUGUGCAGGUGAGAAAGGGGACCUGAGAGGUCGCCCUCAGAAGACUGGUGCCAGCAGUGAGGUUUAUGAGGUGGAUGGUGCCUCAGUUCCUGAGGUAGUUGGAUAGGAAGUGGAGAAGUUUGCUGUCUCCAAAAGAAAACUGCAGUUAGUGGAGUUGUUCUGAAAAGUGGAAAUAAUAGAAAACAUUGGAAAUGAAAAGUAACGUUUUAAAAAGGAAUUGAAAAGUGAAAGAUACAGAUUCUGGAUAAGGGUUUCUCUGUGUAGCUUUGGAGCCUAUCCUGUCAUUGGAUCUGGAGACGAGGCUGGCUACUCCCGAGUGCUGGGAUUAAAUGCAAAUGCGUGUGCCACCAAUCCCAGGUCAACGGUUUCUGCGGAUUUCUGCAGCACUGUCGUGGCUCCUCUACGCAUCCCUCCUCCCUCUUCCCAACUGGAUUCCAGGAGUAUGGCUCACUGCUAUUUUGUGAGUGCCAGUUUCUGCUUUGAUCAGCUACUGGAUGAAGGCCUUAGGAAUGGCAACAAAGGUAGAACUCCAAAUACAAUAUUGAAGAGAUAUGGAGAGUGGGCAGCCUUGUCUUGUUCCUGAUUUUAGACAAUGUGUGUCAUAUUAAGAAACAUAUGGAAUGAGACUUAAAUCAAUUCAUGGAUUCAAAGAUAACAUAUGGAAUGAGACUUAAAUCAAUUCAUGGAUUUAAAGAUAAGGCUUAGUGUCAGGCUCUGGAGCUGUUGAUGAAGCUGUGAUGAAUUCACCAGUCUUUGUUGAAUCAGAAUCUUGAUCUGGACCUGGGUAUGCAGGUGAUCCACAAGAUGCUGU